CCGUGGUCUGUGCGCAUGCGCAAGAAACGCCCACUGAAUUUCCUACUUUCAUUUUUGAAAAAUCUUCUAUUUGGAGAUAGAUUUGUACGCAUCUAUUUACAUUUUAUCUGCGAAAGAAAAUACACUUGCUCAGUUGCUGAAGUGGCUCUCUUUCUCGUCCUUAAGAGCACACAUAACUUCUAAAACGUAAAAAAAACAUGUGAAAGAUUGCUCUUCUACAGUGGACCUUGAUAAAUUCUGAUGGAAAGGAAGUAAUACAAAGGUACAAAUCAAGAAGAAAACUGCUUCUCAUUUUGAUUAUUCAUUUUAAUCAUGCACAACUUGCCAGAAUAUUCAUCAUAUUUGGAAGAAGAAGAAGCUAUGUCAUGAAAAAACUGCUUCAAAUACAGUUGGUGUAUCUAGAGGAAAGAAAUGGAUUGAUUCAGAGAUACAAAACAGGAUUUUAAAAGGACAAAGAUGUAAUGGGUGAAAAUGGAAGAAAAGAAAAAGAAAUACCAAACAAGAUUUUCCAGAGAUUUACAGGUCAUUGGUGAAAAUUGAAGAAAAGAUAAAUGCAAUAACAAAAAUAGUUAAAUGAUUUACAACCAAGCAGCACUCAGCAAUAGUGAUGAUGGUUAAACAAGAUUUAGUGCCUACCACACAGUUAAGAAAGCAUGAGAGACAAGAAUGUCUACAGAACAGAGGAGACUAUUUUUACUGCACUUAGAUUUGUGUUUUAGUUAUAUUCAAUUAGUAUUAAAGAGCUACGUACAAUAAAUCAUGUUAUAUUAUGUU